rnacentral:tRNA from 1 species
AGCGGGAUGGAGGAGCGGUACCUCGUCAGGCUCAUAACCUGAAGGCGUCGGUUCGAUUCCGGCUCCCGCAACCA